UGGGGAAUAUUGCACAAUGGGCGAAAGCCUGAUGCAGCAACGCCGCGUGAGCGAAGAAGGCCUUUGGGUCGUAAAGCUCUGUCCUUGGGGAAGAUAAUGACGGUACCCAUGGAGGAAGCCCCGGCUAACUCCGUGCCAGCAGCCGCGGUAAUACGUAGGGGGCGAGCGUUAUCCGGAAUUAUUGGGCGUAAAGAGUGCGUAGGUGGUUCUUUAAGAGUGAGGGGAAAGGCAAUAGCUCAACUAUUGUAAGCCUUGCGAACUGGGGGACUUGAGUGCAGGAGAGGAAGGCGGAAUUCCUAGUGUAGCGGUGAAAUGCGUAGAUAUGAGGAGGAACACCAGUGGCGAAGGCGGCUUUCUGGACUGUAACUGACACUGAGGCACGAAAGCGUGGGGAGCAAACA
rnacentral:rRNA from 1 species